UACGUAGGGGGCAAGCGUUGUCCGGAAUUAUUGGGCGUAAAGCGCGCGCAGGCGGCUAUUUAAGUCUGGUGUUUAAUACAUGGGCUCAACCUAUGUUCGCAUCGGAAACUGGGUAGCUUGAGUGUAGGAGAGGAAAGUGGAAUUCCACGUGUAGCGGUGAAAUGCGUAGAGAUGUGGAGGAACACCAGUGGCGAAGGCGACUUUCUGGCCUAUAACUGACGCUGAGGCGCGAAAGCGUGGGGAGCAAACAGG
rnacentral:rRNA from 1 species